rnacentral:pre_miRNA from 1 species
UAAACACAAAAUUCUCUCAAUGUAUUAUGAGUUCUAAUCUAAUUGGUGUAUUUUCUAAGGUUAUAAAAGAGCCUAUUUAUAGGCUAAAUUCAUAUGUCAAAUAAUAAUAAAAUUUUAGCCUCUAAAUAGGCUCUUUUACAACAUUAGAAAAUACACUCAUUAGAUUAGAACUCAUAACACAUUUAGAUAAUUUUGUGUUU